GAUGAACGCUGGCGGCGUGCCUAAUACAUGCAAGUCGAGCGAACAGACGAGGAGCUUGCUCCUUCGACGUUAGCGGCGGACGGGUGAGUAACACGUAGGUAACCUACCUAUAAGACUGGGAUAACUUCGGGAAACCGGAGCUAAUACCGGAUAAUAUUUCGAACCGCAUGGUUCUAUAGUGAAAGAUGGCUUUGCUAUCACUUAUAGAUGGACCUGCGCCGUAUUAGCUAGUUGGUAAGGUAACGGCUUACCAAGGCAACGAUACGUAGCCGACCUGAGAGGGUGAUCGGCCACACUGGAACUGAGACACGGUCCAGACUCCUACGGGAGGCAGCAGUAGGGAAUCUUCCGCAAUGGGCGAAAGCCUGACGGAGCAACGCCGCGUGAGUGAUGAAGGUCUUCGGAUCGUAAAACUCUGUUAUUAGGGAAGAACAAACGUGUAAGUAACUGUGCACGUCUUGACGGUACCUAAUCAGAAAGCCACGGCUAACUACGUG
rnacentral:rRNA from 1 species